ACUAAGCGUACACGGUGGAUGCCCUGGCAGUCAGAGGCGAUGAAGGACGUGCUAAUCUGCGAUAAGCGUCGGUAAGGUGAUAUGAACCGUUAUAACCGGCGAUUUCCGAAUGGGGAAACCCAGUGUGUUUCGUCACACUAUCAUUAACUGAAUCCAUAGGUUAAUGAGGCGAACCGGGGGAACUGAAACAUCUAAGUACCCCGAGGAAAAGAAAUCAACCGAGAUUCCCCCAGUAGCGGCGAGCGAACGGGGAGGAGCCCAGAGCCUGAAUCAGUGUGUGUGUUAGUGGAAGCGUCUGGAAAGGCGCGCGAUACAGGGUGACAGCCCCGUACACAAAAAUGCACAUGCUGUGAGCUCGAUGAGUAGGGCGGGACACGUGGUAUCCUGUCUGAAUAUGGGGGGACCAUCCUCCAAGGCUAAAUACUCCUGACUGACCGAUAGUGAACCAGUACCGUGAGGGAAAGGCGAAAAGAACCCCGGCGAGGGGAGUGAAAAAGAACCUGAAACCGUGUACGUACAAGCAGUGGGAGCACGCUUAGGCGUGUGACUGCGUACCUUUUGUAUAAUGGGUCAGCGACUUAUAUUCUGUAGCAAGGUUAACCGAAUAGGGGAGCCGAAGGGAAACCGAGUCUUAACUGGGCGUUAAGUUGCAGGGUAUAGACCCGAAACCCGGUGAUCUAGCCAUGGGCAGGUUGAAGGUUGGGUAACACUAACUGGAGGACCGAACCGACUAAUGUUGAAAAAUUAGCGGAUGACUUGUGGCUGGGGGUGAAAGGCCAAUCAAACCGGGAGAUAGCUGGUUCUCCCCGAAAGCUAUUUAGGUAGCGCCUCGUGAAUUCAUCUCCGGGGGUAGAGCACUGUUUCGGCAAGGGGGUCAUCCCGACUUACCAACCCGAUGCAAACUGCGAAUACCGGAGAAUGUUAUCACGGGAGACACACGGCGGGUGCUAACGUCCGUCGUGAAGAGGGAAACAACCCAGACCGCCAGCUAAGGUCCCAAAGUCAUGGUUAAGUGGGAAACGAUGUGGGAAGGCCCAGACAGCCAGGAUGUUGGCUUAGAAGCAGCCAUCAUUUAAAGAAAGCGUAAUAGCUCACUGGUCGAGUCGGCCUGCGCGGAAGAUGUAACGGGGCUAAACCAUGCACCGAAGCUGCGGCAGCGACGCUUAUGCGUUGUUGGGUAGGGGAGCGUUCUGUAAGCCUGCGAAGGUGUGCUGUGAGGCAUGCUGGAGGUAUCAGAAGUGCGAAUGCUGACAUAAGUAACGAUAAAGCGGGUGAAAAGCCCGCUCGCCGGAAGACCAAGGGUUCCUGUCCAACGUUAAUCGGGGCAGGGUGAGUCGACCCCUAAGGCGAGGCCGAAAGGCGUAGUCGAUGGGAAACAGGUUAAUAUUCCUGUACUUGGUGUUACUGCGAAGGGGGGACGGAGAAGGCUAUGUUGGCCGGGCGACGGUUGUCCCGGUUUAAGCGUGUAGGCUGGUUUUCCAGGCAAAUCCGGAAAAUCAAGGCUGAGGCGUGAUGACGAGGCACUACGGUGCUGAAGCAACAAAUGCCAUGCUUCCAGGAAAAGCCUCUAAGCAUCAGGUAACAUCAAAUCGUACCCCAAACCGACACAGGUGGUCAGGUAGAGAAUACCAAGGCGCUUGAGAGAACUCGGGUGAAGGAACUAGGCAAAAUGGUGCCGUAACUUCGGGAGAAGGCACGCUGAUAUGUAGGUGAAGCGACUUGCUCGUGGAGCUGAAAUCAGUCGAAGAUACCAGCUGGCUGCAACUGUUUAUUAAAAACACAGCACUGUGCAAACACGAAAGUGGACGUAUACGGUGUGACGCCUGCCCGGUGCCGGAAGGUUAAUUGAUGGGGUCAGCGCAAGCGAAGCUCUUGAUCGAAGCCCCGGUAAACGGCGGCCGUAACUAUAACGGUCCUAAGGUAGCGAAAUUCCUUGUCGGGUAAGUUCCGACCUGCACGAAUGGCGUAAUGAUGGCCAGGCUGUCUCCACCCGAGACUCAGUGAAAUUGAACUCGCUGUGAAGAUGCAGUGUACCCGCGGCAAGACGGAAAGACCCCGUGAACCUUUACUAUAGCUUGACACUGAACAUUGAGCCUUGAUGUGUAGGAUAGGUGGGAGGCUUUGAAGUGUGGACGCCAGUCUGCAUGGAGCCGACCUUGAAAUACCACCCUUUAAUGUUUGAUGUUCUAACGUUGACCCGUAAUCCGGGUUGCGGACAGUGUCUGGUGGGUAGUUUGACUGGGGCGGUCUCCUCCUAAAGAGUAACGGAGGAGCACGAAGGUUGGCUAAUCCUGGUCGGACAUCAGGAGGUUAGUGCAAUGGCAUAAGCCAGCUUGACUGCGAGCGUGACGGCGCGAGCAGGUGCGAAAGCAGGUCAUAGUGAUCCGGUGGUUCUGAAUGGAAGGGCCAUCGCUCAACGGAUAAAAGGUACUCCGGGGAUAACAGGCUGAUACCGCCCAAGAGUUCAUAUCGACGGCGGUGUUUGGCACCUCGAUGUCGGCUCAUCACAUCCUGGGGCUGAAGUAGGUCCCAAGGGUAUGGCUGUUCGCCAUUUAAAGUGGUACGCGAGCUGGGUUUAGAACGUCGUGAGACAGUUCGGUCCCUAUCUGCCGUGGGCGCUGGAGAACUGAGGGGGGCUGCUCCUAGUACGAGAGGACCGGAGUGGACGCAUCACUGGUGUUCGGGUUGUCAUGCCAAUGGCACUGCCCGGUAGCUAAAUGCGGAAGAGAUAAGUGCUGAAAGCAUCUAAGCACGAAACUUGCCCCGAGAUGAGUUCUCCCUGACUCCUUGAGAGUCCUGAAGGAACGUUGAAGACGACGACGUUGAUAGGCCGGGUGUGUAAGCGCAGCGAUGCGUUGAGCUAACCGGUACUAAUGAACCGUGAGGCUUAACC
rnacentral:rRNA from 1 species